GUUUGAUCCUGGCUCAGAUUGAACGCUGGCGGCAUGCCUUACACAUGCAAGUCGAACGGUAACAGGUCUUCGGAUGCUGACGAGUGGCGAACGGGUGAGUAAUACAUCGGAACGUGCCCGAUCGUGGGGGAUAACGAAGCGAAAGCUUUGCUAAUACCGCAUACGAUCUACGGAUGAAAGCAGGGGACCGCAAGGCCUUGCGCGAACGGAGCGGCCGAUGGCAGAUUAGGUAGUUGGUGGGAUAAAAGCUUACCAAGCCGACGAUCUGUAGCUGGUCUGAGAGGACGACCAGCCACACUGGGACUGAGACACGGCCCAGACUCC
rnacentral:rRNA from 1 species